AAAGGGUGCUGUGAUUGAUUAGUGGUAUUUCCUGUGGUCUAUCUGUAAAGCCUGCCUCAGGUGCACAGAUUAAGGAGAAACAUCUUAUGAUUAUCUCCAUAAAUGAAGAAAAAGCAUGAGAUACAAUUGAAUACCGAUUCAUGAUAAAAAUUCUUAGGAAACUAGGAAUCUUUUUUUUUUUUUUUUUUUGAGAUGGAGUCUCGCUCUCGCCCAGGCCGGAGUGCAGUGGCACUAUCUCGGCUCACUGCAAGCUCCGCCUCCCAGGUUCAGGCCAUUCUCUUGCCUCAGCCUCCCUAGUAGAUGGGACUACAGGUGCCCGCCACCACGCCUGGCUAAUUUUUUGUAUUUUUAGUAGAGAUGGGGUUUCACCGUGUUAGCCAGGAUGGUCUCGAUCUCCUGACCUCGUGAUCUGCCCGUCUUGGCCUCCGAAAGUGCUGGGAUUACAGGCGUGAGCCACCGCGCCCGGCCAGGAAUCCUUUCUUGAUCUUAUAAAGAAAAUUCACAAAUACAAAACAGAAGGAAAAGAAAAUAAACAAAAUCCUAUGGCAGCUUCCGCUAUGGCUGUGUUAGCUCCUGCUGGACCAAACCUCCCAGAGACCAGCUAAAAACCCUGGACAAAACACAAAAAUAUAACCUGAAGGCACCGGGGUGAAUGAACAUAGGCAGAUGCCACAGUGGAGUUGAUACUCGGAAGAAGACACAAUAUAGGGACACAGCAAGACAAAUCACAGCACAGCAAAUCAUGAGGAGACACCAGGCAAAUCCAAAUUGGGAGAAAUUCCUAAAACACCUGGCCUGUAUUCUUCAAACCUGUCAAGAACAUGAAAGUCAAGGAGAUACUGAGUAACUUUUUCAGGUUGAAGAAGACUAAAGAGAAAUUAUAACUAAAAGCAAUGCAUGUUUCUAAACUUGAUCCCUUUGCUAUAAAGGAUAUUUUGGACCAAAU
rnacentral:lncRNA from 10 species